AGUGAACGCUGGCGGUAGGCCUAACACAUGCAAGUCGAACGGCAGCACAGUAAGAGCUUGCUCUUACGGGUGGCGAGUGGCGGACGGGUGAGGAAUACAUCGGAAUCUACUUUUUCGUGGGGGAUAACGUAGGGAAACUUACGCUAAUACCGCAUACGACCUACGGGUGAAAGCAGGGGAUCUUCGGACCUUGCGCGAUUGAAUGAGCCGAUGUCGGAUUAGCUAGUUGGCGGGGUAAAGGCCCACCAAGGCGACGAUCCGUAGCUGGUCUGAGAGGAUGAUCAGCCACACUGGAACUGAGACACGGUCCAGACUCCUACGGGAGGCAGCAGUGGGGAGUAUUGGACAAUGGGCGCAAGCCUGAUCCACCCAUACCGCGUGGGUGAAGAAGGCCUUCGGGUUGUAAAGCCCUUUUGUUGGGAAAGAAAAGCAGCAGGUUAAUACCCCGCUGUUCUGACGGUACCCAAAGAAUAAGCACCGGCUAACUUCGUG
rnacentral:rRNA from 1 species